rnacentral:rRNA from 1 species
UACAGAGGGUGCAAGCGUUGUUCGGAAUUAUUGGGCGUAAAGCGCGUGUAGGCGGCUUGGCAAGUCGGGUGUGAAAGCCCUCAGCUCAACUGAGGAAGUGCGCCCGAAACUGCUGAGCUCGAGUGUCGGAGAGGGUGGCGGAAUUCCCCAAGUAGAGGUGAAAUUCGUAGAGAUGGGGAGGAACACCGGUGGCGAAGGCGGCCACCUGGACGAUUACUGACGCUGAGACGCGAAAGCGUGGGGAGCAAACAGG